UGACCUCACCCUUGAGGACGUGCUAC
rnacentral:piRNA from 1 species